rnacentral:lncRNA from 1 species
GCCGUUAGCGGCGCUGUUAUCUGCCUCCUCCGCCAAGGAGAACAAAUGCACGCCCCGCGGUCCCCCAGCCCCAUUGUCAUUCAAAGAGCCUGCGCUCCUGCGCUCCUGCGCUCCGCAGCCCGCGAAACUGCCUCCCAGGCUCCCGGCUGCAGAGGGAUUCAGCGAGACUGCGGGGGAGGAGACAAUGCGCAGGAGGAGGGGCUUGGGAGUUUCUAGAGACCCCUGCGGUGGCAAUAGGGCCCAGGAAGACCCACCCCCCCCAACUCUCAUUGUCUGACUCAGUGACUCAGCUGGGGGCUGGGGCUGGAAGCUGGAGCGGAGUGCGGGUGUCUGUCUUGAGUUUGCACCUUCUGGAAUCUGGAAGAAACUCCGCGGUUCUCCUGGGCCAGUUGAGGGGCCUCCUUCAACCACCUAGCUAACUGUGCCCCAAGCCUGCCGUGCCUGCAUCCAGGCCAAGGAGGAGGGCUUCAGGGGCUCAGAGGAUGCAUCCCCAAACCCUUGGAAUGGCUUUGGAUGAACCACAUUCUGAGAUCCUGGGGCUCACCAGAGACUAUCCCCACCCCACCAGGAGGAGGCGUUCUGUCCAGGUUUGGCGAGAUGAAGACGUUUCCUAGUAGAAAACUAAAGAUAAGGAGGCUAAGGCUCGGGAGGCCAGAUGACUUUCUCAAGAGAACAAUCAGCAUGUGGUAGAGCCAAGACUGAAAACGAGAUCUUCUGACGACAGAGCCAAUACCCCAGCCAUGACUCAAGCUUGACAGUAGCCAAGAGGGUGGCUCCCGCCGAGGUGUGAGCCGCUCCACGUGCCAGUAUUUAUGGAAGUCCUUUGUGAAAAUGCCAACGGAUCCCAGCAAUGCUGAGAGGAACCAGCAAAGAGCCCUCUUCCUGGGCUCAAAGUAAAAGAGACGCAUCCCCUGCAGCCUGGGAGUGG